UGCAGUCGAGCGGAAGGCCCUUCGGGGUACUCGAGCGGCGAACGGGUGAGUAACACGUGAGGAACCUGCCCUGGACUUUGGGAUAACCCUCGGAAACGGGGGCUAAUACCGAAUAUGACACUUCACCGCACGGUGUGGGUGUGGAAAGUUUUUCGGUCUGGGAUGGUCUCGCGGCCUAUCAGCUUGUUGGUGGGGUAAUGGCCUACCAAGGCGACGACGGGUAGCCGGCCUGAGAGGGCGACCGGCCACACUGGGACUGAGACACGGCCCAGACUCCUACGGGAGGCAGCAGUGGGGAAUAUUGCACAAUGGGCGGAAGCCUGAUGCAGCGACGCCGCGUGAGGGAUGACGGCCUUCGGGUUGUAAACCUCUUUCAGCAGGGACGAAGCGCAAGUGACGGUACCUGCAGAAGAAGCGCCGGCCAACUACGUGCCAGCAGCCGCGGUAAGACGUAGGGCGCGAGCGUUGUCCGGAUUUAUUGGGCGUAAAGAGCUCGUAGGCGGCUUGCCGCGUCGACUGUGAAAACCCGCGGCUCAACUGCGGGCCUGCAGCCGAUACGGGCAGGCUAGAGUUCGGUAGGGGAGACUGGAAUUCCUGGUGUAGCGGUGAAAUGCGCAGAUAUCAGGAGGAACACCGGUGGCGAAGGCGGGUCUCUGGGCCGAUACUGACGCUGAGGAGCGAAAGCGUGGGGAGCGAACAGGAUUAGAUACCCUGGUAGUCCACGCUGUAAACGUUGGGCGCUAGGUGUGGGGGACCUCUCCGGGUUCUCUGUGCCGCAGCUAACGCAUUAAGCG
rnacentral:rRNA from 1 species